GUGUCAGCAGCCGCGGUAAUACAGAGGUCUCGAGCGUUAGGCGGAAUCACUGGGCUUAAAGCGUGUGUAGGCGGAUCGGUAAGUACCUUGUGAAAUCCCACGGCUUAACCGUGGAACUGCUUGGUAUACUGCCAGUCUUGAGCCAUCUAGGGGCUACCGGAACAAAUGGUGGAGCGGUGAAAUGCGUAGAUAUCAUUUGGAACGCCAAUGGUGAAAACAGGUAGCUGGGGAUGUGCUGACGCUGAGACACGAAAGCCAGGGGAGCAAACGGGAUUAGAUACCCCCGUAGUCC
rnacentral:rRNA from 1 species